UGCUUCAUAUCCAUUUCCUCUCAACUGACAAGAUCUGCCAACGACCGAAUUCAUAGACAAGUAACUAUCACAAAACUAACGCUUGUCAACUUGCAGCCGGGUCCAAACACUCCAAUGUUUGGCGUUCUGCAUUUGUCUACUUCCGAGCAAAACCACUCAAAACCUAAACUUGUCUUGCAAACUAAGAGCUGAAAAAAAAGUUGAUGUAAAAUAGGAUACAAGUUAAACAGGGCUAGACGGAACAGAAUAAAACGGAUGGAAUGGAUUGGCAAUUGGAGAGCAGUUAAAGGAUGAUUUAUAGAAUUCAGUGGAGAUAUAUAAAUAAAUUGACAAUUUAAUAUCGUCCAAUUAAAUCUCCAAUAAUGUCAAUAGAUUAUUGAAUAAAUAGCUGCGAGGUAUGGUGUGAGGUCAUGAAAAUUGGGAAUUAAGUUGGAAUCCAAAUUUGAAUUUAAUCUAAUAAAUUUUAUUGACCAUAUUUUCUACUGUAAAUAAAAUAGACGUUCUACAUUCUU